rnacentral:rRNA from 1 species
UACGUAGGGGCCGAGCGUUGUCCGGAGUUAUUGGGCGUAAAGCGCGCGCAGGCGGCUUCGCGCGCCCGGCGUGAAAGCCCCCGGCUUAACCGGGGAGAGUCGUUGGGGACGGGGGGGCUUGAGGGCGGGAGAGGUCGGUGGAACUCCCGGUGUAGUGGUGAAAUGCGUAGAGAUCGGGAGGAACACCUGUGGCGAAGGCGGCCGACUGGGCCGACCCUGACGCUGAGGCGCGAAGGCGUGGGGAGCGAACGGG